GGGGAUAUAGCUUAGCUGGUAGAGCGCUUGCCUCAAAUGCACAAGGCCCUGGGUUCAAUUCCCCAGCACCACCA
rnacentral:tRNA from 1 species